rnacentral:tRNA from 1 species
GCCCCUGUAGCUCAAUGGAUAGAGCAGCGCCCUCGCAAGGUGUGGGUUCAAGUCCCACCAGGGGUGCCA